GAUGAACGCUAGCGGCAGGCUUAACACAUGCAAGUCGAGGGGCAGCAUGAGACGGAGAUUCGUCAAAGUCUUGAUGGCGACCGGCGCAAGGGUGCGUAACGCGUGAGCAACUUGCCCGUUUCAGGGGGAUAACCGGUGGAAACGCCGACUAAUACCCCAUAGUAUGUUUUUAAGGCAUCUUUUAAACAUUAAAGAAUUUCGGAAACGGAUAGGCUCGCGUGACAUUAGCUAGAUGGCGGGGUAACGGCCCACCAUGGCGACGAUGUCUAGGGGUUCUGAGAGGAAGGUCCCCCACACUGGAACUGAGACACGGUCCAGACUCCUACGGGAGGCAGCAGUGAGGAAUAUUGGUCAAUGGGCGCAAGCCUGAACCAGCCAAGUAGCGUGAAGGAGACUGCCCUAUGGGUUGUAAACUUCUUUUAAUACGGGAACAAACCCCGGUACGUGUACCGGAUUGCGUGUACCGUAUGAAUAAGCAUCGGCUAACUCCGUG
rnacentral:rRNA from 1 species